AAUCAACGCUGGCGGCGUGCCUCAGACAUGCAAGUCGAACGCGAAAGGCCCCUUCGGGGGCCCGGUAGAGUGGCGCACGGGUGAGUAACACGUAGGUAAUUUGCCUUCGGGUGGGGAAUAACAGCCGGAAACGGCUGCUAAUACCGCAUAAUGCAGCGGCUCGACAUCGAGACAGUUGUUAAAGCGGGGGAGUCGCAAGACCUCGCGCCUGAAGAGAAGCCUGCGGCAGAUUAGCUUGUUGGUGAGGUAAUGGCUCACCAAGGCGACGAUCUGUAACCGGCCUGAGAGGGCGGUCGGUCACACUGACACUGACAUACGGGUCAGACUCCUACGGGAGGCAGCAGUCGGG
rnacentral:rRNA from 1 species